CAGUUUUACGUAACAAUAUCUAGCGAUAUACUACGAUCCGACGUUUGUGGUACACUUUUGUAUGAAAUUAAUGACCAAUAUACUACACUUGUCGACAAAUAUACUACAAUAUACGUUCAAUAUAAGUUCGAAAGUGUAAAAUCGCCAUUGUAUAUAGACCAAAAACAUGCAAAUACAUACGAUAUACCCAUUACGAUUUC
rfam:Ecotropis obliqua NPV strain A1, complete genome.